GACGGAGGAUGCAAGCGUUAUCCGGCAUUAUGGGGCGUAAAGCGUCCGUAGGUGGCCUAUCAAGUCUGCUGUUAAAUCCCAGGGCUCAACUCUGGGUCAGCAGUGGAAACUGAUAAGCUAGAGUGCGGUAGGGACAGAGGGAAUUCCCGGUGUAGCGGUGAAAUGCGUAGAUAUCGGGUAGAACGCCAGUGGCGAACGCGAUCUGCUGGGCCGUAACUGACACUCAAGGACGAAAGCUAGGUGAGCGAAUGGA
rnacentral:rRNA from 1 species